rnacentral:rRNA from 1 species
UACGUAGGCAGCGAGCGUUGUUCGGAGUUACUGGGCGUAAAGAGUGCGUAGGCGGUUUUCUAAGUUUGGUGUGAAAUCUCCCGGCUUAACUGGGAGGGUGCGCCGAAGACUGGAAGGCUUGAGUAUGGGAGAGGUAAGCGGAAUUCCUGGUGUAGCGGUGAAAUGCGUAGAUAUCAGGAGGAACACCGGUGGCGAAGGCGGUUCUCUGGGCAUUACCUGACGCUGAGGAGCGAAAGCGUGGGGAGCAAACAGG